CGUAUAUUUUUUAAAGUCUAACCUGUCCCACUGUAAAUUUUAAAUUGGCCGCAGUAUAUUAACUGUGCAAAGGUAGCAUAAUCAUUAGUCUUUUAAUUGAAGGCUGGAAUGAAUGGUUGGACGUAAUAUUAACUGUUUCAAAAUAAUUUAAAUUAGAAUUUUAUUUUUUAGUAAAAAAGCUAAAAUUUUAUUAAAAGACGAGAAGACCCUAUAAAUCUUUAUAAUUUAUUUAUUUUAAUUGAAAAGAAUAAUUUUAUUAUAAUAAAUUAAAUUAUUUUAUUGGGGUGAUAUUAAAAUUUGAUAAACUUUUAAUUUAUUAAAUCAUUAAUUUAUGAAUAAUUGAUCCAAUUUUAUUGAUUAAAAAUUCAAGUUACUUUAGGGAUAACAGCGUAAUUUUUUUGGAGAGUUCAUAUCGAUAAAAAAGAUUGCGACCUCGAUGUUGGAUUAAGAGAUAUAUUUGGGAGUAGCCCUUCAAAUGUUAAGUCUGUUCGACUUUUAAAUUCUUACGUGAUCUGAGUUCAGACCGGA
rnacentral:rRNA from 1 species